rnacentral:misc_RNA from 1 species
GUCAACAGUGCAACGUGCAUUCAGCCAAUACAGCCAUUUCUUCUUUCACAGAACCCCAGUGGAGAUUAUUUCCUGAGUCCUAAAAGAAGCAUCCUUGUUAUCAAUGAAUCAGUCACGCAAGAGACUCCGUAGGGACCAAGUGGGAGAAGAGAAACUGUCAAAGAGCGACGUUAUAUGCCCUGUUUGCUUUGAUAUUUUCACGAGUGUGCAGGUAACCGUAUGUGGACACAGCUUCUGUCAUGAGUGUAUACACAAGUCAAUUGCUCAGACCCAACAGUGCCCAAUCUGUGGCACCAAACUAUCACGUGACAGUGGGUUCGCUCCUAAUUUCUCAUUGAAUGACAUUGUCGCUAAGAUAAGAUCUCAAGAGACUCACCACGAUGCUUCUCUAUCAUAUGAUGCUUAUUAUGGUAACGUGCUGCAGAUGGUAAAGAAUUUAAAACCUAAUCACCUCAUAGCUCUCAAUGAGCAAAUAUCGUCUCAAAUUGACUUGAAUAAGAAAUUAUAGGUUCCGGCCACCCGAGAGGACAGAGAUAUUAAAAGGGCUGCAUAAUGUAUAUAAGCCUAGUCCCUAGUUGAGUCAGACUAAUAGAUUAGUGAGAGAGAAAAUGAAGAAAUUAUAAUUUAUAUGUAUCUGACUGGGACACUAGGCACUAUGAUGGUUUAUAGCAUAUACACUGUAGUACGUGUAUCACUGCUGCUUUACGUGCGGCGGCCAUCUUUGCGAGGAAAAUAAAGUUGAGGACUCCGUUUUCAAUGAGUUUUUGAUCGAGUCAAAGAAAGCAAAA